CCUACGGGAGGCAGCAGUGGGGAAUAUUGGGCAAUGGGCGCACGCCUGACCCAGCAAUGCCGCGUGAAGGAAGAAGGCUUUCGGGUUGUAAACUUCUUUGACAGGGGAAGAGCAGAAGACGGUACCCUGAAAACAAGCCACGGCCAACUACGUGCCAGCAGGCGCGGUAAUACGUAGGUGGCAAGCGUUUACCGGAUUUACUGGGUGUAAAGGGCGUGGAGCCGGGAAGGCAAGUCAGAUGUGAAAUCCGCAGGCUCAACCGCCGAAUUGCAUUUGAAACUGUUUUUCUUGAGUACUGGAGAGGCAUACGGAAUUCCUUGUGUAGCGGUGAAAUGCGUAGAUAUAAGGAGGAACACCAGUGGCGAAGGCGGUCUGCUGGACAGCAACUGACGGUGAGGCGCGAAAGCGUGGGGAGCGAACAGGAUUAGAUACCCUGGUAGUC
rnacentral:rRNA from 1 species